GACGAACGCUGGCGGCGUGCUUAACACAUGCAAGUCGAACGGAAAGGCCCUGCUUUUGUGGGGUGCUCGAGUGGCGAACGGGUGAGUAACACGUGAGUAACCUGCCCUUGACUUUGGGAUAACUUCAGGAAACUGGGGCUAAUACCGGAUAGGAGCUCCUGCUGCACGGUGGGGGUUGGAAAGUUUCGGCGGUUGGGGAUGGACUCGCGGCUUAUGAGCUUGUUGGUGGGGUAGUGGUUUUCCAAGGCUUUGACGGGUAGCCGGCCUGAGAGGGUGACCGGCCACAUUGGGACUGAGAUACGGCCCAGACUCCUACGGGAGGCAGCAGUGGGGAAUAUUGCACAAUGGGGGGAAGCCUGAUGCAGCAACGCCGCGUGCGGGAUGACGGCCUUCGGGUUGUAAACCGCUUUCGCCUGUGACGAAGCGUGAGUGACGGUAAUGGGUAAAGAAGCACCGGCUAACUACGUG
rnacentral:rRNA from 1 species